rnacentral:rRNA from 1 species
AUUGAACGCUGGCGGCAUGCCUUACACAUGCAAGUCGAACGGCAGCACGGGAGCAAUCCUGGUGGCGAGCGGCGAACGGGUGAGUAAAGUAUCGGAACGUGCCCAGUCGUGGGGGAUAACGUAGCGAAAGUUACGCUAAUACCGCAUACGAUCUAUGGAUGAAAGCGGGGGAUCGCAAGACCUCGCGCGAUUGGGGCGGCCGAUAUCAGAUUAGGUAGUUGGUGGGGUAAAGGCACACCAAGCCGACGAUCUGUAGCUGGUCUGAGAGGACGACCAGCCACACUGGGACUGAGACACGGCCCAGACUCCUACGGGAGGCAGCAGUGGGGAAUUUUGGACAAUGGGCGAAAGCCUGAUCCAGCCAUGCCGCGUGCAGGAUGAAGGCCUUCGGGUUGUAAACUGCUUUUGUACGGAACGAAAAGGUUUGGCCUAAUAAGCUGAGCUCAUGACGGUACCGUAAGAAUAAGCACCGGCUAUCUACGUGCCAGCAGCCGCAGUAA